GGGAUGGGGUCGCGGCCCAUCAGGUAGACGGCGGGGCAGAGGCCCACCGUGCCGACGACGGGUAGCCGGGUUGAGAGACCGACCGGCCACAUUGGGACUGAGAUACGGCCCAGACUCCUACGGGAGGCAGCAGUGGGGAAUUUUGCGCAAUGGGGGCAACCCUGACGCAGCAACGCCGCGUGCGGGACGAAGGCGUUCGCGUCGUAAACCGCUUUCAGCGGGGAACACCUAAACGAGGGUACCCGCAGAAGAAGCCCCGGCUAAAUACGUGCCAGCAGCCGCGGUAAUACGUAUGGGGCGAGCGUUAUCCGGAUUCAUUGGGCGUAAAGCGCGCGUAGGCGGAGCGCUAAGCGGGACCUCUAACCCGAGGGCUCAACCCCCGGCCGGGUCCCGAACUGGCGCUCUCGAGUGCGGUAGGGGAGAGCGGAAUUCCCGGUGUAGCGGUGGAAUGCGCAGAUAUCGGGAAGAACACCGACGGCGAAGGCAGCUCUCUGGGCCGAAACUGACGCUGAGGCGCGAAAGCUGGGGGAGCGAACAGGAUUAGAUACCCUGGUAGUCCCAGCCGUAAACGAUGGGCGCUAGGUGUGGGGGAUGAGAUCCCCCGUGCCGCAACCAACGCAUUAAGCGCCCCGCCUGGGGGAGUACGGCCGCAAGGCUAAAACUC
rnacentral:rRNA from 1 species